rnacentral:lncRNA from 1 species
ACUUCGUGCUACGCUUUCGUCAACAGGAGGCCACGCAGCGUGAGUUACUCGCUUUUGUUGGCAAGCGCUGCCCUGCAUCUAAGCGCCAAAAUUACAUUUGUCCGAAAUGACGAAGGGAAUGAACACGCUUUUCGCCUGCUUUGUCAUCGCCAUGGUUGUCCUGGAGGUGACCGCCGGCGGGUAUGGUGGGGGUGGUGGAUGGAGCACGGGUGGUCAAGGCUACCACUACGGCGGAGGGGACCGCAGCAGCGAAGAAAGCCAUGAGCGUUACCACGGCCACGGGCACCACCAGCAGCCAGUGUAUGGUGGUCACCCGACCUACAUACAGCGACCAGUGUACCACUCUGGUCCCGCCCCGACAUACGGCUCGCAGCAUGGACAUACAAGCCUGCUACACAAGCUCACGGACAAGUUCCAUGGCUGAAUCGAAAAAUAGCAAAGAGUAGAUUGUAAGACGAUAGGAUUGUGUGGCUAGAACUGUUAUCCGUUUAGCAGCACUUGUAACGACUGUUUGCGUUGGCAAACUACCCGAUCUCUGAGGCACUGUACCAUUGAUACUGUUCAUUGUUCAAAGGCCAAAGAGUAUUACUAUUAUUUCUUGCUUUGAUUUACAGUACUCACGGAUGGAAACGCGAAAAUUUAGGGGUAAGUAAUGCUCGUACUUUAGUUUCCGGGGUCUACAGUUCGGGUCAUAUCGGUGUAAUUUUGACUCGGACACUUACACCAGAGCCAACAUUACCCUCAGCGGCCAGAUUCUCAGCGACAUGACGCGGUUAUCACGAGGAAUGUCUCAUAGCAUAAAUCCGUGAGUAAUGUUCCUACAGACGCACAUCCAAAUCAACGUUUAUCGAGGGGAAAGGAAAUUCGCAGCGCAAUGAAAGCAGCAGCCAGUCCUGACCAGUAUUUCACGGUGUGCUAAAAAGAAAAAAAAUGUGCGAUCGUUGAAUGGGACUGAUGCUGUUGAAGGGGAUAAAAAAGUAGAAGCUACGAAAGCAGUUUGCGAACUAGUUAGGUACUGCGUUAUAGACCUAACCGAAAAUCGUAAGUGUGAAUCAGAGAACUAAAGAAACCAGGCGAUAUUUAGGUUCACGGGAAGUCAAAAUUCAGAGCUAUUCUGGUAAUACAUUGCCAAGGGCGAAUAACUGCUGGUCUAUAGCAAUGUUAUACAGGAUGGAUGCCAAUAAACAGAAGCUCAUUGUAAGACGGUAUAGAAUUAAGAGGUGCGAAGACAUUAGAAAGCAUACAGUGGUAACGUGGAAUUAGCUGGGACAAGGAAGGAAUUAUUGAAUAUCUCUUAAAGAGGCCUUCGUUCCGUAGAGGACGUGAAAAGGCUUAUAAUGAUGCUGAUAUUAUGCACAGU